rnacentral:rRNA from 1 species
CUCAGAGCGAACGCUGGCGGCGUGUCUUAAACAUGCAAGUCGAGCGGCAGCGGGGGCUUCGGCCUGACCGGCGAGCGGCGAACGGGUGAGUAACACGUAAGUGACCUACCCCUGGGUGGGGGAUAACCAGCCGAAAGGUUGGCUAAUACCGCAUAAAGUCUUAUAGAUUAGAGGCUAUAGGAUGAAAGUCGAAAGACGCCCAGGGAGGGGCUUGCGUCCGAUUAGUUAGUUGGUGAGGUAAUGGCUCACCAAGGCGAUGAUCGGUAGCUGGCCUGAGAGGGUGGUCGGCCACACUGGGACUGGGACACGGGCCCAGACUCCUACGGGAGGCAGCAGUUAAGGAUAUUGCGCAAUGGGCGAAAGCCUGACGCAGCGACGCCGCGUGCCUGAAGAAGG